rnacentral:rRNA from 1 species
GAUGAACGCUGGCGGCGUGCCUAAUACAUGCAAGUCGAGCGAACGGACGAGAAGCUUGCUUCUCUGAUGUUAGCGGCGGACGGGUGAGUAACACGUGGAUAACCUACCUAUAAGACUGGGAUAACUUCGGGAAACCGGAGCUAAUACCGGAUAAUAUUUUGAACCGCAUGGUUCAAAAGUGAAAGACGGUCUUGCUGUCACUUAUAGAUGGAUCCGCGCUGCAUUAGCUAGUUGGUAAGGUAACGGCUUACCAAGGCAACGAUGCAUAGCCGACCUGAGAGGGUGAUCGGCCACACUGGAACUGAGACACGGUCCAGACUCCUACGGGAGGCAGCAGUAGGGAAUCUUUCGCAAUGGGCGAAAGCCUGACGGAGCAACGCCGCGUGAGUGAUGAAGGUCUUCGGAUCGUAAAACUCUGUUAUUAGGGAAGAACAUAUGUGUAAGUAACUGUGCACAUCUUGACGGUACCUAAUCAGAAAGCCACGGCUAACUACGUGCCAGCAGCCGCGGUAAUACGUAGGUGGCAAGCGUUAUCCGGAAUUAUUGGGCGUAAAGCGCGCGUAGGCGGUUUUUUAAGUCUGAUGUGAAAGCCCACGGCUCAACCGUGGAGGGUCAUUGGAAACUGGAAAACUUGAGUGCAGAAGGGGAAAGUGGAAUUCCAUGUGUAGCGGUGAAAUGCGCAGAGAUAUGGAGGAACACCAGUGGCGAAGGCGACUUUCUGGUCUGUAACUGACGCUGAUGUGCGAAAGCGUGGGGAUCAAACAGGAUUAGAUACCCUGGUAGUCCACGCCGUAAACGAUGAGUGCUAAGUGUUAGGGGGUUUCCGCCCCUUAGUGCUGCAGCUAACGCAUUAAGCACUCCGCCUGGGGAGUACGACCGCAAGGUUGAAACUCAAAGGAAUUGACGGGGACCCGCACAAGCGGUGGAGCAUGUGGUUUAAUUCGAAGCAACGCGAAGAACCUUACCAAAUCUUGACAUCCUUUGACAACUCUAGAGAUAGAGCCUUCCCCUUCGGGGGACAAAGUGACAGGUGGUGCAUGGUUGUCGUCAGCUCGUGUCGUGAGAUGUUGGGUUAAGUCCCGCAACGAGCGCAACCCUUAAGCUUAGUUGCCAUCAUUAAGUUGGGCACUCUAAGUUGACUGCCGGUGACAAACCGGAGGAAGGUGGGGAUGACGUCAAAUCAUCAUGCCCCUUAUGAUUUGGGCUACACACGUGCUACAAUGGACAAUACAAAGGGCAGCGAAACCGCGAGGUCAAGCAAAUCCCAUAAAGUUGUUCUCAGUUCGGAUUGUAGUCUGCAACUCGACUACAUGAAGCUGGAAUCGCUAGUAAUCGUAGAUCAGCAUGCUACGGUGAAUACGUUCCCGGGUCU